AAACUACUUUUACUUCAAUGUAGAGCUGAGAUUUCGAAACCCUAGUUUCUGAUGGAACAGGAAGGUGAGUAAAGUUGUUCUAAACCAAAGUUUUCCCAGAUUGCAAGGGUUCUUUGAGUGGCUUUUUCGACUUUAGUAGUAACAAAUUGGAAAACAGAGGUUUCUCUCUGUUUCUACUUCUUGCUUCAAAUGGAAAAAUCACUAUCCGAACGACGCCGUUUUAUUAAAAAAUGAUUCGUUAGAGAAAGGCCCACGAAAACAAAUGGGCCUAAAUUUUGGUCCAUUCUAGAUAGUUUUAAUAUGACAGUAUUGUCCUGAAGAAUAGUUUCACAGCGACGAGUCGCGAUGGGGUAUAAUAGUAACUUCAAUUGUUUAGUCCGGCCAGAUCGUCGUCGUCUUCUCGCCGGGAAAUUUCAAAACGUUAAUCAACAGUCAAAUCAAUCUAACAUUCUCCGACGUGUUCUCACUGUAAGUAGAAAAAUCUCUCACUGAAGAGAUUCGAUUUCGCCAUCUUUAUAUCUCGGACGCUGCGUGACAGCGAGGUCUCUCAAUUGGAGAAGGAUCUAUUAGAUACCUCUGUUUGGUUUCUGUAAAAUUGAUAGCUGAGCAUAGUAGCAUGUUUGGGUUUAAUCUUCACAUUAAUUUGCCUUUAAUCUUCACAUAAAUUACACACGAUUCCUCCUAGCAUAGUAGCAUGUUUGGGUUUUGUUCUUCUUGCUUGUUACACUUUAACUUGUUCAUACAACAAUAACAUUAAGGAAGCUGGUUCUUGUUUGUUAAACUGGUCAAACACUCUGCUUAGUAUCUAGUUGUUGUUAACUUUGGUUUCUGAACCUCUUUCAUUGGGAGAUGGUCCAAAGUAGUAAUACAGUCUCCUCCACCUUUGCCAUGUCCCUAUAAUGGUAUUAUAUGUGGAAGGAGCUCCAAGGUACGUAUGUCUUCUCUGUACUCUUUAGUGCACCAAAUAUGAUUCACUUUACUUUACUUACAUAUGCAUAUCUGCUGCAACCAAUCGAAUGCUUACUUACAUAUUUACAUAUUUGCAAUAAGUAAAUUCAGUUAGAUGUUCAACAGUCCUUGAGCUUGACUCAAAUUUGACUAGAUCUCCAUCCUGUUACUUUGAUAAGUCGGAAGUGUGAGCAUAAAUAAUAUUCUGCAGCAUUAAAUUGGAAAACGGGAAUAGUUUAGUGAAUAAUCUUGUGCGCUAAAAGUUUGAUUUUUGUCUCCAGGAAAGACACCAGAUAAAGGUCUUAUGUCACGUUAUCAUCACAGCCAGGACAUGGCAAAUGCAAGAUCAGUCCAGUGAUGGAACCGCCACAGUAGCAAUCUUCAGGAUUCUCAUUCUCAGAAGCCCUCAUGCACAGCUACUUGCCAUCGUUCUCGGCGCUUCUUCAGUUUUUAUCUGCUCAGUCUUAUGUCAUCCACCCAUCUGAUUACACAUCUCUUCAACAUCACCACCAUUUCAUGAACCACCAACGAGCUCUACCAUAGCUUCCUUUGCCAAACUUCAAGGUUCCUAAACAGCCCUGAAGUUGGACAUAACUUGGACAGUUGGACCCUUAUUGUGGAAGGCCAAUAUGAUGAUCAACUGCAACAUCUUGCUAUUGUUUGGUUCUCUUUUCUUAUUUUGAUUUGUAAGUUUGUAACCAGAAGUUGUGCCAACAACAAGAUACAAAUCCAAACCCAUUUGUCACUAUACUUUAAUGUCAUUUGAUUUACUCCACCGAACAAUGUAAGUGCUAUUUGUUGAAGACUUUUUCGGACC